CACGUAGGCACCAAGCGUUGUCCGGAUUUAUUGGGCGUAAAGCGCACGUAGGCGGACUCUUAAGUCGGUGGUGAAAUCCUGGAGCUCAACUCCAGAACUGCCUUCGAUACUGAGAGUCUCGAGUCCGAGAGAGGUGAGUGGAACUGCGAGUGUAGAGGUGAAAUUCGUAGAUAUUCGCAAGAACACCAGUGGCGAAGGCGGCUCACUGGCUCGGUACUGACGCUGAGGUGCGAAAGCGUGGGGAGCAAACAGG
rnacentral:rRNA from 1 species